rnacentral:lncRNA from 1 species
UUUAGCAUCCACAUUUCAUCAUUUCCACAAUUCAAUGAAAGUUUCAUAAGUUUAACAACAAUGUUUUCAUCAUUCACACAAUCCAAUCAAAUUUCCUAGGUACCAACAUUUUCAUCAUGCACACAAUUCAAUUAAAUUUCAAGGGUUAACAACACAUUUUUCAUCAUUCCCACUAUUACAAUCAAAUUUCAUGGGUUUAACAUCAUCAUUUUCAUUCAUCCCACAAUUCAAUCAAAUUUCAUGGGUUUAACAUCAUCAUUUUUAUCAUUCCCCACAAUUCAAUCAAAUUUCAUGGGUUUAACAUCAACAUUUUAUCAUUCCUACCAUUCAAUCGAAUUUCAUGGGUUUAAGCAUCAACAUUUUCAUCAUUCCAUAAUUCAAUCAAUUUCAUGGUUUAAACACACGUUUUCAUCAUUCACAUAAUUCAAUCAAAUUUUUCAACAAAAUAAUUCAAUCAAAAUCAAUUAGGUUUAACAUCACACAUUUUCAUCAUGCACACAAUUCAAUAAAUUUCAUGGGUUUAACAACAACAUUUUCAUCAUUCACACAAUUCAAUCAAAUUUCGGUGGGUUUAACAUCAAACAUUCAUCUUCCCACAAUUCAAUCAAAUUUCAUGGGUUUAGCAACAACAUUUUCAUCAUUCACACCAAUUCAAUCAAAUUUCAUGGUUUAACAGAAUCAUUUUCAUCAUUCCCACAAUUCAAUCAAAUUCAGGGUUUUAACCUCACAUUUCAUCAUUCCCACAAUUAAUCAAAUUUUAUGGGUUAACAAUAACAUUUUCUUUUAUUCACACAAUUCAAUCAAAUUUCAUGGGUUUAACAUCAACAUUUUCAUCAUUCCCGCCAAUUUCAAUCAAAUUUCAUGGGUUUAACAACAACAUUUUCAUUAUUCACACAAUUCAAUCAAAUUUUCAUGGGUAUAACAUCAACAUUGCAUCAUUUCCAUAAUUCAAUCAAAUUUCAUAGUUUAACAACAACGUAUUUCCUCAUUCACACAAUCCAAUAUAAUUUUCCUAGGUUUACCAACAUCAUUUUCAUUCAUGCACAACAUUCAAUUUCGAUUUCAAGGGUUUAAAAAACAACAUUUUCAUCAUUUCCCACAAUUCAAUCAAUAUUUCAUGGGUUUUAACAUCAUCUUUUUCAUUAUCCCACAAUUCAAUCAAAUUUCAUGGGUUAACAUCAUCAUUUUUUAUCAUUCCAUAAUUCAAUCAAAUCUUAUGGGUUUAACAAUAAUAUUUUCAUUAUUCACACAUUCACCAAAUUUUCAUGCGGUUUAACAAUAACAAUUUUCAUCAUUCCCACAAUUCAAUCAAAUUUCAUGGGUUUAACCAAACAACAUUUCAUUAUUCACACAAUUUAAUCAAAUUUCAUGGAGUUUAACAUCCACAUUUCAUCAUUUUAACAAAUUCAAUCAAAUUUCAUAAGUUUAAUUACAAUGUUUUCAUCAUCACACAAUUCAACUCAUAUUUCAUUGGUUUAACAACAACAUUUUCAUCAUCCCACCAAUCAAACAAAAUUAUGGGUUUAACAUCAUUUUUUCAUUAUUCCCAACAAUUCAAUCAAUUUCAUGAGUUUAGCAUCCACAUUUUCAUCAUUUCCACAAUCAAUGAAAUUUCAUAAGUUUAACAACAAUGUUUUCAUCAUUCACACAAUCCAAUACAAAAGUUUCCUAGGUUUACCAACAUUUUCAGUCAUGCACACAAUUCAAUUAAAUUUCAAGGGGUUAACAAAACAUUUUCAUCAUUCCCACUAUUCAAUCAAAUUUCAUGGGUUUUAACAUCAUCAUUUUUCAUCAUUCCCACAAUUCAAUCAAAUUUCAUGGGUUUAACAUCGAUCAUUUUUCGAUUCCCAACAAGUUCAAUCAAAUUUCAUGGUUUAAACAACCAUUUUCAUCAUUCCUACCAUUCAUCAAUUUCAUGGGGUUUAGCAUCAACUAUUUUCAUCCAUCCACAAUUCCAUCAGAAUUUCAUGGUUAAACAUCACAUUUUCAUCAUUUCCAUAAUUCAUCAAAUUUCAUAGGUUUAACAAAAACCUUUUCAUCAUUUCACACAAAUCCAAUCAAAUUCAUAGGUUUAACAUACAUUUUUCAUCAUGGCAUCAUUCCCACAAUUCAAUCAAAUUUCAUGGGUUUAACAACAACAUUUUCAUUAUUCACACAAUUUAAUCAAAUUUCAUGAGUUUAGCAUCCACAUUUCAUCAUUUUAACAAUUCAAUCAAAUUUCAUGGGUUUAACAGAAUCAUUUUCAUCAUUCCCACAAUUCAAUCAAAUUUCAUGGGUUUAACCUCACAUUUUCAUAAUUCCCACAAUUCAAUCAAAUUUCAUGGGUUUAAUAUCAUCAUUUUUAUCAUUCCCACAAUUCAAUCAAAUUUCAUGGGUUUAACAUCAACAUUUUCAUCAUUCCCGCAAUUCAAUCAAAUUUCAUGGGUUUAACAACAACAUUUUCAUUAUUCACACAAUUCAAUCAAAUUUCAUGGGUAUACCAUCAACAUUGCAUCAUUUCCAUAAUUCAAUCAAAUUUCAUAGGUUUAACAACAACGUAUUCCUCAUUCACACAAUCCAAUAUAAUUUCCUAGGUUUACCAACAUCAUUUUCAUCAUGCACACAAUUCAAUUCGAUUUCAAGGGUUUAAAAANGGUUUAACAACAACUAUUUUCAUCAUUCCCACAAUAUCAAACAAAAUUACAUGGUUUUAACAUCAUCUUUUUUCAUUAUUCCCACAAUUCAAUUUCAAAUGUUCCUGAGUUUAGCAUCCACAUUUCAUUCAUUUCCACAAUUUCAAUAAAUUUUCAUUAAGUGUUUAACAACAAUGUUUUGCAUCAUUCACACAAAUCCAAUCAAAUUUCCUAGGUUCACCAACAUUUUCAUCGGCCACACAAUUCAAUUAAAUUUUUCAAGGGUUAACAACAACAUUUUUCAUCAUUCCCACUAUUCAAUCAAAUUUCAUGGGUUUAACCAUCAUCAUUUUUCGAUUCAUCCCACAAUUCAAUCAAAUUUCAUGGGGUUUAACCAUCAUCAUUUUUAUCAUUCCCCACAAUUCAAUCAAAUUUCAUGGUUAACAUCACAUUUUGAUCAUUCCUACCAUUCAAUCGAAUUUCCAUGGUUUAAGCAGCAACAUUUUCAUCAUUCCAUAUUCAAUUCAAAUUUCAUAGGUUUACAAAACGUUUUCAUCAUUCACAAAUCAAUCAAAUUUUUCAACAUGAAAUAAUAAAUAAAAUAAUUAGGUUUAAAUCAACAUUUUCAUCAUGCACCCACAAUUCAAAUAAAUUUCAUGGGUUUAACAACAACAUUUCAGGCAUUCACACAAUUCAAUCAAAUUUCGUGUGGGGUUUAACAUCAAACAUCAUCUUCCACAAUUCAAUCAAUUCAUGGGUUUAGCAACAACAUUUUCAUCAUUCACACCAAUUCAAUCAAAUUUUCAUGGUUUAACAGAAUCAUUUGUCAUCAUUCCCACAAUUCAAUCAAAUUCAGGGUUUUAACCUCACAUCUUCAUUUUCAUUCCCACAAUUCAAUCAACAUUUAUGAUAUCCCGAUUUAAAGCGAAAUAACACUUUUCUUUAUUCACACAAUUCAAUCAAAUUUCAUGGGGUUAACAUCAACAUUUUCAUCAUUCCCGCAACUUUCAAUCACAAUUUCAUGGGUUUAACAACAACAUUUCAUUUUCACACCAGAUUCAAUCAAAUUUCAUGGGUAUAACUCAACAUUGCAUCAUUUCCAUAAUUCAGAUCAAAAUGUUCAUAGGUUUAACGACAACGUAUUUCCUCAUUCACCAUCAACUAAUUUAGUUAAUUUUCUAGGUUUACCAACAUCAUUUUCAUCUUGCACAACAAUUCCAAAUUCGAUUCAAGCGGUUUAAAAAACAACUUUUCAUCAUUCCCACAUUCAAUUCAAAUUUCAUGGGUUUAACAUCAUCUUUUUCAUUAUGUCCCCACAAUUCAAUCACAAUUCAGGUUAACAUCAUCAUUUUAUCAUCCCAUACAUUCAAUCAAAUCUUAUUGGGGUUAACAAUAAUAUUUUCAUUAUUCAACAAUUCACCAAUUUUCAUGCGGUUUACAAUAACAAUUUUCAUCAUUCCCACAUUCAAUCAAAUUUCAUGGCGUUAACAACAACAUUUCAUUAUUCACACAAUUUAAUCAAAUUUCAUGAGUUUAACAUCCACAUUCAUCAUUUUAACAAAUUCAAUCAAAUUUCAUAGUUAAUAACACAAUGUUUUCAUCAUUCGACAGCAAUUCAACUCUAUUUCAUUGGUUUAACAACAAAUUUCAUCAUCCACAAAAUCAAACAAAAUCAUGGGUUUAAACAUCAUUUUUCAUUAUCCCACAAUUCAAUCAAUUCAUUGAGUUUAACAUCCACAUUUUCAUCAUUUCCACAAUCAAUGAAAUUCUAAGUUGUACACAAUGUAUUUCAUCAUUCACACAAUCCGAAUCAAAUAUUUCCCUAGUACGUUACCAUCUUUCAUCGUGCACAAAUUUCAAUUAAAUUUCAAGGGGUUGAACAAAACAAAUUUUUCAUCAUUCCCACUAUUCAAUCAAAUUUAAAUGGGUUUUAACAUCAUCAUUUUUCAUCAUUCCCACAAUUCAAUCAAAUUUCAUGGGUUUAACAUCAUCAUUUUUAUCAUUCCCAACAAGUUCAAUCAAAUUUCAUGGGUUUAAAUCAACCAUUUUCAUCAUUCCUACCAUUCAAUCGAAUUGCAUGGGUUAGCAUCAACAUUUUCAUCAUCCCACAAUUCCAAUCAAAUUUCAUGGUUAAACAUCACAUUUUCAUUCAUUUCCAUAAUUCAAUCAAAUUUCAUACGGUUUAACAAAAACUUUUCAUCAUUUCACACAAAUCCAAUCAAAUUCAUAGGUUUAACAUACAUUUUUCAUCAUGGCACACAAUUCAAUUAAUUUCAUGGUUUAACAACAACAUUUUCAUCAUUCACACAAAUUUCAAAUCCAUUUUAAAUUCGUCGGUUUAACAUCAACAUUUUCCAUCAUCCCACAAUUCAUCAAAUUUCAUGGGUUAUCAACAAACAUUUUCAUCAUUCCACACAAUUCAAUCAAAUUCAUGGUUUAACAGAAUCAUUUUCAUCAUUCCCACAUUCAAUCAAAAUUUCAGGGGUUUUAACCUCACAUCUUCAUCAUUCCCACAAUUCAAUCAAAUUGAUGGGGUUUAACAAUAACAUUUUCUUCUAUUCACACAAUUCAAUCAAAUUUCAUGGUUUAACAUCAAUAUUUUCAUCAUUCCGCAAUUCAAUCAAAUUUCAUGGGUUUAACAACAACAUUCAUUAUCACACAAUUCAAUCAAAUUUCAUGGGUAUAAACAUCAACAUUGGCAUCAUUUUCCAUAAUCAAUCAAAGUUCAUAGGUUUACAACAACGUAUUCCUCAUUCACACAAUCCAAUAUAAUUCCUAGGUUUACCAACAUCAUUUUCAUUCAUUGCCACACAAUUCAAUUCGAUUUCAAGGGUGUAAAAACAACAUUUUCAUCAUUCCCACAAUUCAAGUCAAAAUUCAGCGGUUUAACAUCAUCUUUUUCAUUUAUUCCCACAAUUCAAUCAAAUUUCAUGGGUAACAUAUCAUUUUUUUCAUUCCCAUAAUUCAUCAAAUCUUAUGGGUUUAACAAUAAUAUUUUCAUUAUUCACACAAUUCACUCAAAUUUUCAUGGGUUAACAAUAACAUUUUCAUCAUUCCCACAUUCCAAUCAAAUUCAUGGGUUUAACAACAACUUUUCAUUAUUCACACAAUUUAAUCAAAUUUCAUGGAGUUUAACAGUUCACAUUGGCAUCAUUUAAACAAUCAAAAUCAAAUUUCAUAAGUUUAAUAACAAUUUUUCAUCAUUCACACAAUUCACUCAUAUUUCAUUGUUUAACAACAACAUUUUUUCAUCAUUCCCCAAAAAAAUCAAACAAAAUUCAUGGGUUAAAACAUCAUCUUUUUCAUUAUUCCCACAAUCAAUCAAAUUUCAUGAGUAGCAUCCACAUUCAUCAUUUCCACAUUCAAUGAAAUUUCAUAAGUUAACAACAAUGUUUUCAUCAUUCACCACAAUCCAAUUCAAAAUUUCCUAGGUUACCAACAUUUUCAUCAUGCACACAAUUCAAUUAAAUUUCAAGGGCUUGAAACAAACAACAUUUUCAUCAUUCCCACUAUUCACAUCAAAUUUCAUGGGUUUAACAUCAUCAUUUUCAUCAUUCCACAAUUCAAUCAAAUUUCAGGGUUUAACAUCAUCAUUUUUAUCGAUUCCCACAAUUCAAUCAAAUUCAUGGGUUUAACAUCAACAUUUUGAUCAUUCCUACCAUUUUCAAUCCGAAUUCAUGGGUUUAGCAUUUCAACAUGUUUCAUCACUUUCCAUAAUUCAUCAAAUUCAUAGGUUUAACAAAAACGUUUCAUCAUUCACACCAAUCCAAUCAAAUCAUAGGUUUAACAUCACAUUUUGAUCAUGCACACAAUUCAAUUAAAUUUCAUGCGGUUUAACAACAACAUUUUCAUCAUUCACACAAGUUCAAUCAAAUUUUCGUGGGAUUAACAUCAACAUUGCAUCAUUCCCACAAUUCAAUCAAAUUUCAUGGGUUUAGCAACAACUUUUCAUCAUUCACACAAUUCAAUCAAAUUUCAUGGGUUUAACAGAUCAUUUUUCAUCAUUCCACAAUUCAAUCAAAUUUCAGGGGUUUAACCUCACAUCUUCAUCAUUCCCACAUUCAAUCAAAUUUGAUGGUUAACAAUUACAUUUUCUUUAUUUCACACAAUUCAAUCAAAUUUCAUGGGUUUAACAUCAAUAAUUUUCAUCAUUCCCGCAUUCAAUCAAAUUUCAUGGGUUUAACAACAACAUUCAUUUAAUUUCACACAAUUCAAUCAAAUUUCAGGGUAUAACAUCAACAUUGCAUCAUUUUCCAUAAUUCAAUCAAAGUUCAUAGGUUAACAACAACGUAUUCCUCAUUCACACAAUCCAUGAUAAUUUCCUAGUUUACCAACAUCAUUUUCAUCAUGCACACAAUUCAAGUUCGAUUUCAAGGGUUUAAAAAACAAACAUUUCAUUCAUUCCCACAAUUCCAAUCAAAUUUCAUGGGUUUAACAAUCAUCUUUUUCAUUAUUUUCCCACAAUUCAAUCAAAUUUCAUGGGUUUAACAUCAUCAUUUUAUCAUUCCCAGUAAUUCAAUCAAAUCUAUGGUUUAACCAACUAAUAUUUUCAUUGUCACACAAUUCACUCAAAAUUUCCAUGGGUUUAACAAUAACAUUUUUCAUUUUCCAUUCCACAAUUCAAUCAAAUUUCAUGGGUUUUAACAAACAACAUUUUCAUUGAUUCACACAAUUUAAUCAAUUUCAUUGAGUUUUAACAUCCACAUUUCAUCAUUUUAACAAUUCAAUCAAUUCAUAAGUUAAUAACAAUGUUCAUCAUUCACACAAUUCACUCAUAUUUCAUUGGUUUAACAACAACAUUUUCAUCAUUCCCACAAAUCAAAACAAAAUUCAUGGGGUUUAACAAUCAUCUUUUUCAUUAUUUCCACAAUUCAAUCAAAUUCAUGAGCUUUAGCAUCCACAUUUCAUCAUUCCACAAUUCAAUGAAAUUUCAUAAUUUAACAACCAAUGUUUUCAUCAUUCCACACAAUGCCAAUCAAAUUUCCUAGGUUUACCAAAUUUCAUCAUGCACACCAAUUCAAUUAAAUUCAAGGGUUGAACAACAACAUUUUUAUCAUUCCCACUAUCAAUCAAUUUCAUAAGGGUUAACAUCAUCAUUUUCAUCUUCCCACAAUUCAAUCAAAUUUCAUGGGUUUAACAGCAUCAUUUCUUAUCUCCCACAAUUCAAUCAAAUUCAUGGGUAACAUCAACAUUUCUCAUUUCCUACCAUUCAAUCGGAAUUUUCAUGUUUAGCAUCAACAUUUUCAUCAUUCUCCCACAAUUCAAUCAAAUUUGCAUGCUGUUAAACAUCACAUUUCAUCAUUUCCAUAAUUCAAUCAAUUGCAUGGGUUUAACAGAAUCAUGUUUCAUCAUUCCCACAAUUAAUCAAAUUUCAGGGGUUUAAACCUACAUCUUCAGCAUUCCCACAAUGUCAAUCAAAUUAUGGGUUUAACAAUAACAUUUUCGUUGUAUUCACACAAUUCAAUCAAAAUUUCAUGGGUAACAAUCAAUAUUUGUCAUCAUUCCCGCCAAUUCAUCAAAUUUCAUGGGUGAACAACAACAUUUUCAUUAUUUCACACAUUCAAUCAAAUUUCAUGGGUAUAACAUCAACAAUUUGCAUCAUUCCUAAUUCAAUCAAAUUCAUAGGUUUAACAACAAACGUAUUCCCUCAUUCACACAAUCCAAUAUAAUUUCCUAGUUUACCAACAUCAUUUUCAUCAUGCACACAAUUUCAAUGUUCGAUUAUUCAAGGUUUAAACAACAUUUUCAUCAUUCCCACAAUUCAAUCAAAUUUCAUGGGUUUAACAUCAUUCUUUUCAUUAUUCCCACAAUUCAAUCAAAAUUUCAUUGGCUCAUGGGUUUAACAUCAUCAUUUUUAUCAUUCCCAUAAUUCAAUCAAAUCUUAUGGGUUUAACAAUAAUAUUUUCAUUAUUCACACAAUUCACUCAAAUUUCAUGGGUUUAACAAUAACAUUUUCAUUAUUCACACAAUUUAAUCAAAUUUCAUGAGUUUAACAUCCACAUUUCAUCAUUUUAACAAUUCAAUCAAAUUUCAUAAGAUUUAUAACAAUGUUUUCAUCAUUCACAUAAUUCACUCAUAUUUCAUUGGUUUAACAACAACAUUUUCAUCAUUCCCACUAUUCAAACAAAAUUAAUGGGUUUAACAUCAUCUUUUUCAUUAUUCCCACAAUUCAAUCAAAUUUCAUGAGUUUAGCAUCCACAUUUCAUCAUUUCCACAAUUCAAUCAAAUUUCAUAAGUGUAACAACAAUGUUUUCAUCAUUCACACAAUCCAAUCAAAUUUCCUAGGUUUACCAACAUUUUCAUCGUGCACACAAUUCAAUUAAAUUUUAAGGGAUUAACAACAACAUUUUCAUCAUUCCCACUAUUCCAUCAAAUUUCGUGGGUUUAACAUCAUCAUUUUCAUCAUUCCCACAAUUCAAUCAAAUUUCAUGGGUUUAACAUCAUCAUUUUUAUCAUUCCCACAAUUCAAUCAAAUUUCAUGGGUUUAACAUCAACAUUUUCAUCAUUCCNNNNNNNNNNNNNNNNNNNNNNCAUUAACAAGCAACAUUUUCAUCGAUUCCCACUAUUCAAUCAAAUUUCAUGGGUGAACCGAAGUUUUAACAUCAUCAUUUUCAUCAUUUCCACAAUUGCAAUCAAAUUUCAUGGUUAACAUCAUCAUUUUAUCAUUCCACAAUUCAAUCAAAUUUCAUGGUUUAAACAUCAACAUUUCAUCAUUCCUACGCAUUCAAUCGAAUUUCAUGGGUUUAGCAUUCAACGUUUUCAUCAUUCCCACAAUUCAAUCAAAUUUCAUGGAAGUUCUAAACAUCGAGCAUUUCAUCUGGGGGAGGUGUGGGUCCAUGAGAGGUGCAAGGGUGCGGAAGAGGUGCGAGUAGGGAUUUAACCAAAAGUUUUUCAUGCGGAGGGUGCGACGCGGCCCCGCGGAAAAAAAGUUCCCCCAAAAUUUUUCAAGAUAUUCACUAGGGGUUGAGACGAGUGCAAAUUUUCAGGUGCGAGUGGCGAGCUAGGCGAGAGUUCAGGAGGGUAAGUUGUGCGGAUGUGGGUGGGGGGUGUGUGUGGAACGGUGGUGGUAGUACGAGAGGGCGGAGGUUCCGGAGUCGAUUCACACAAUUCAGGAGGUCAAAGUGGUCGUGGGUUCUAACAUCAACAUUUUUCUCCAUUCCCCACAAAAUUCAAUCAACAUUUCAUGGGGUUUAGCAACAACAUUUUCAUCAUUUCACACAAUUCAAUCAAAUUUCCAUGGUUAACAGAAUCAUUUUCAUCAUUUCCCACAAUUCAAUCAAAUUUUAUGGGUUUUAAUAAUAACAUUGGGUCUUUAUUCACACAAUUCAAUCAAAUUUCAUGGGUUUUUAACACAACUUUCAAUCAUUCCGCAAUUCAAUCAAAUUCAUGGGUUUAAACAACAACAUUUUCAUUAAUUCACACAAGUUCAAUCAAAUUUCAUGGGAUUAACAUCAAACAUUGCAUCUUUCCAUAAUUCAAUUCAAAUUUCAUAGGUUUAAACAACAACGUAUUCCUCAUUCACACAUCAAUAUAAUUUCCUAGGUUUUACCAACAUCAUUUUCAUCAUGCACACAAUUCAUCGUAUUUGGUCAAGGGUUUUUUAAAAAACAACAUUUUCAUUCAUUCCCACAAUUCAAUCAAAUUGUUCAUGGGUUUAACAUCAUCUUUUUCAUGAUUUCCCACAAUUCAAUCAAAUUCAUUGGGUUUAAACAUCAUCAUUUUUAUCAUUCCCAUAUCAAUUCAAAUCUUAUGGGUUUAACAAUAAUAUUUUCAUAUAUUCACACAAUUCACUCAAAUUUCAUGGUUUAACAAUAACAGUUUCAUCAUUCCACAAUUCAAUCAAAAUUCCUAUGGGUUUAACAACACAUUUUCAUUAAUUCACACAAUUUAAGCAAUUUUCAUGAGUUUAACAUCCACAUUUCCAUCAUUUUAACAAUUCAAUCAAGAUUUCAUAAGUUUAAUAACAAUGUUUUUCAUCAUUCACACAAUUUCACUUCAUAUUCAUUGUUUAACAACAACAUUUUAGUUCGAUUCCACAAAUUCAAACCAAAAUUAAUGGGUUUUUUAACAUCAUCUUUUUCAUUAUUCCCCACAAUGUCAAUCAAAUUUUCAUGAAGUUGGCAUCCACAUUUCAUCAUUUCCAAAUUCAAUGAAAUUUCAUAAGUUUAAACAACAAUGUUUUCAUCAUUCACAAAUCCAAUCAAAUUUCCUAGGUUUACCAACAUUUUCAUCGGCACACAAUUCAAUUUAAAUUUUAAGGUUCAACAAACACAUUGUUCAUCAUUCCCACUAUUCAAUCAAAUUCAUGGGUUUAAACAUCAUCAUUUGUUCAUCAUUCCCACAAUUCAAUCAAAUUCAUGGGUUUUAACCAUCAUCGAUUUUUCAUCCCACAAUUCAAUCAAAUUUCAUGGCGUUUUAACAUCACAUUUGUCUCAUUCCUACCAUUCAAUCGAAUUGUCAUGGGCAGUUUAGCAUAACAAUUUUUCACUUCAUUCCCACAAUUCAACAAAUUUCAUGGCGGUUAAACAUUCACAUUUUUCAUCAUUUCCUACAAUCAAAUUCAUAGUAUACAAAUUACAUCCAUCAUCAAUUUAGGAACAUAAUUUCAUCUCCACAAUUCAAAAAUCAGGUUUUACAAAACAUUACAUUCACACAAUUACAAUCAAUUUCGUAGGAAUCUUUCAGCAAUUUCAAUUAAAUGUCAGAUUUAAACAACCAAAUUUUCAUCAUUCCACAAAUUUCAAUCAAAUUUGUGGGCUUUGCAAACAUACAUUUUCAUCAUUCACACAAUUCAAUCAAAUUUCAGGGUUUAAGCCAAUCAUUUCAUCAUUUCACACAAUUCAAUUGCAAAUUUCAUGGGUUUAACAGAAUCAUUUUCAUUCUUCCCACAAUUCAAUCAAAUUUUAUGGCGUUUUAACAAUAACAUUUUUCUUUAUUCCAACCAAUUCAAUUCAAUUCAUGGGUUUAACAGCAACAUUUUCAUCAUUCCCACAUUCAAUCAAAUUUCAUGGGUUAACAUCACUUUUUCAUUAUUCCCACAAUUCAAUCAUAUAUAUAUAUUUAACUCAUCAUUUUUAUCAUUCCCAUAAUUUCAUCAAAUUCUUAUGGGUUUUAACGAAUAAUAUUUUCAUUUUUCACACAAUUCACUCAAAUUUCAUGGGUUUAACAAUAACAUUUUCAUUCAUUCCCACAAUUCAAACAAACAAAUUAAUGGGGUUUAACAUCGAUCUUUUUCAUUAUUCCCACAAUUCAAUCAAAUGUCAUGAGUUAGAUCACAUUUCAAUCAUUUCCACAAUUCAAAUUGAAAUUUCAUACAGGUUUAACAACAAUGUUUUCAUCAUUCACACAAAUCCAAUUCAAAUUUCCUAGGUACCAACAUUUUCAUCAUGCCACACAAUUCAAUUAAAUUUCAAGGGUUGAACAACACAUUUUUCAAUCAUUCCCACUUAUUCAAUCAAAUUUCAUGGCUUUAACAUCAUUCAUGUUUAUUCUUCCCACAUUCAAUCACAAUUUCAUGGGGUUAACAUCAACAUUUUUCAUCAUUCCCACCAUUGCAAUCGAAUUUCAUGGUUUAAGGCAUUCAACAUUUUGAUCAUUCCUACACAUCAAAUCGAAAUUUCCAUGGUUUAAGCAGCAUUACAUUUCAUCAUUCCAUAAUUCAAUUCAAAUUUCAUAGGUAACAAAAACGUUUUUCACUCAUUCACAAAUACAAUCAAAUUUAGUUUAACAUGAACAUCAUAUACAAUAAAUAAAUUUAUGGUUUAAUAACAUUUUCAUCAUGCAACAUUUCAAAAUUUCAGGUUAACACACAUAAUUACAAUCAAUCAAAUUUCGUGGGGUUAAUUCUUCAUUCAUAACAUGUUCAACAACAUUUCAUCAUUCCACCAAUUCAAUUCAAAAUUUCAUGGUUUAAGCAAACAGUUUCAUCAUUCCACACAAUUCAAUCAAAUUUCAUGGGUUUAACGAUCACAUUUUCAUCAUUCCACAAUGUCAAUCAAAUUUUUAUGGGUUUAACAAUAACAUUUCUUUUAUUCACACAAUUCAAUCAAAUUUCAGGGGUUUAACAUCAACAUUUUCAUCAUUCCAAAUGCAAUCAAAUUUCAUGGAGUUAACAUCAUCUUUUUUCAUUAUUCCCACAUUCAAUCAAAUUUCAUGGGUUUAACAUCAUUCAUUUUUAUCAUUCCAUAAUUCAAUCAAAUCUUAUGGAGUUAACAAUAAUAUUUCAUUAUUCACACAAAUUCACUCAAAUUUCAUGGGUUUAACAAUAACAUGUUCAUCAUUCCCACAAUUUCAAUCAAAUUUCAUGGUUUAACAACACAUUUUCAUUAUUCACACAAUUAAUCAAAUUUCAUGAGUUUAACAUCCACAUUUCAUCAUUCUAACAUUCAAUAAAUUCAAAGUUUAAAACGAAGUUUCAUCUAUCUCACACAAUUCACUCAUAUUUCAGUUGUAACAACAACACUUUUCAUCAUUCCCGACAAUUCAAACAAAAUCAAGGGUUAACAUUCAUCUUUUUCAUUAUUCCCACAAUGUCAUCAAAUUUCAUGAGUUUUUUAAGACAUUAUCAUUUCCCAAUCAAAAUUUCAUAGUUACAGUUUCUCUUCACACAUCUCAAUUAGUUAAUACAUGCACAUUCAUAAGGGGUUAACACAACUUUAUCUCCUACAACAGAUCAUGUUAACUCAUCAUCAUAUUCACAUUCAAUCAAUUAGGAACAUAUCAUUUUAUCAUUUCCAAAUUCAUCAAGGUAACGAGAAAUUCAUUAUUCCUACCACAAUGAUUUCAUGUACAUCACGUUUAUCCAAUCACAAUAGGUCAUCCAUCAUUAAUUCACAAAUAUAGUUUUACAACUUGCAUUACAAUCAAUCAAUCAUAUUUACAAACACAUUCAUGUCACACAUUAUUCAAUCAAAUUUCAUGGUUUAACUACAAUCAUUAGCAUUCAUUCACAAUUCAAUCAAAAUUUCAUGGUUUAACAUCAACAUUUUAUUCAUUUCCCACAUGUCAAUCAAAAUUUCAUGGCUGUAUAACAUCAUUCAACAUUCAUUCAAUCAUCUUACCAUUAUACCCAUUUCAAUCAAUUUCAUGGUUUAACCAUCACAUUUCAUCAUUUCCCACAUUCAAUCAAAUUUAUGGGUUAACAAACACCAUUCUUCAUCAUCCAUUUCAAAUCAAGUUUUCAUGCAGGUUUAACAUAAACGUUUCAUCGAUUCCCACCAAUCAAUCAAAUUUCUCAUCGGUUUCCAACAUUUCAUACUUCGAAAAUUCAAUCAACGAUUCAUGGCACACAUCAUCAUUUCCAUAAUCUCAAAAUCAUGGUUUAACAAACAACAUUCUUCAUCAUUCACACAAUCAAUCAAAUUCCGUGGGUUUACGCAUCAACAUUUUCAUCAUUCACACAUCAAUCAAUUUGGUCGAGGUUUCAACAAAACAUUUUCAUCAUUCACACAAUUCAAUCAAAUUUCAUUAGGGUUUACAUAUCUUUUUCAUUUCCCACAAUUCAAAUCAAAUUUCAUGGGUUUAACCAUCAUCAUUUUCAUCAUUCCCACAAUUUCAAUCAAUUUUAUGGGUUAACAAUAACAUUUUCUUAUUUCAUACAAUUCAAUUCCAAAUUUCUGCGUUUAACAUCAACAUUUUCAUCAUUUCUCGCAAUUCAAUCAAAUUUCAUGCGGUUUAACAACAAACAUUUUCAUUAUUUCACACCAAUUCAAUCAAUUUUCAUGGGGAUCUAUAACAUCAAACAUUGCAUCAUUUCCAUAAUUCAAUCAAAUUUCAUAGGUUAACAACAACGUAUUCCUCUUUCACACAAUCCAUAUAAUUUCCUAGGUUUACCAAACAUCAUUUUCAUCAUGCACACAAAUUCAAUUCGAUUUCAAGGGUUUUAAAAACAACAUUUUCAUCAUUCCCACAAUUCCAAUCAAAUUUUCAUGGUGUUUUAACAUCAUCUUUUUCAAUAUUUCCCACAAUUCAAUCCAAAUCUUCUGGGUUUAACAUCAUAUUUUUAUCAUUCCAUAUUUCAAUCAAAUCUUUAUGGGUUUAACAAUAAUGAUUUUCAUUAUUCCACAAUUCACUCAAAUUUUUUUUAUGGUGUUUAACAUAACAUUUUCAGUCAUUCCCACAAAUCUAAUCAAAAUUUCAUGGGUUUAAACACAAACAUUUUUCAUUAUUCAUACCAAUGUUAAUUCAAAAUUUCAUGAAUUUAACAUCCACAUUUCAUUCAGUUAACAAUUCAAUCAAAUUUCAUAAGUUUUUAAUAACAAUGUUUUCGUCUUCACACAAUUCACCUUCAUUAUUUCAUUGGUUUAACAACAACAUUUUAUCAUUUCCCACAGAUUCAAACAAAUUAAUGGCUCAUGGGUUUAACAUCAACAUUUCAUCGUUUUCACAAUUCAAUCAAAUUUCAUAGGUUUAACAACAACGUUUUCAUCAUUCACACAACUCAAUCAAAUUUCAAAGGUUUAACAACAAUAUUUUCAUCUUUCACACAAUUCAAUCAAAUUUCAUGGGUUUAAUAACAACAUUUUCAUCAUUCUCAUAAUUCGAUCAACUUUCAUGGGUUUAACAUCAACAUUUUCAUUAUUCCCACAAUUCAAUCAAAUUUCAUGGGUUUAACAUCAUCAUUUUCAUCAUUCCAACAAUUCAAUCUAAUUUCAUGGGUUUAACAUCAACAUUUUCAUCAUUCUCACAAUUCAAUCAAUUUCAUGGGUUUAACAAUAACAUUUUCAUGAUUCACAUUGUACAAUCAAAUAUCAUGGGUUUAAAAUCAAGAUUUACAUCAUUCCCACAAUUAAAUUAAAUUUCAGUGGUUUAACAAUAACAUUUUCAUCAUUCAUACAAUUCAAUCAAAUUUAAUGGGUUUAACAACAAUUUUUUUAUCAUUCACAUAAUUCAAUCAAAUUUCAUGGUUUUAACAACAAUAUUUUCAUUUAUUCCCAUAAUUCAAUCAAAUUUCAUGGGUUUAACCUCAUAUUUACAUCAAGGUUUAACAUCAUCAUUUUCAUCAUUCCCACAAUUCAAUCUAAUUACAUGGGUUUAACAUCAACAUUUUCAUCAUUCCCACAAUUCAAUCAAUUUCAUGGUUUAACAAUAACAUUUUCAUGAUUCACGUUGUUCAAUCAAAUAUCAUGGGUUUAAAAUCAAGAUUUACACCAUUCCCACAAUUAAAUCAAAUUUCAGUGGUUUAACAACAACAUUUUCAUCAUUCACACAAUUCAAUCAAAUUUUAAGGGUUUAACAACAAUUUUUUUUAUCAUUCACAUAAUUCAAUCAAAUUUCAUGGUUUUAACAACAAUAUUUUCAUUUAUUCCCAUAAUCCAAUCAAAUUUCAUGGGUUUAACCUCAUAUUUACAUCAUUCCCACAAUUCAAUCAAAUCUUAUGGGUUUAACAACAACAUUUUCAUCAUUCACAUAAUUCAAUCAAAUUUCAUGGGUUUAACAUCAACAUUUAUAUCAUUUCAACAAUUCAAUCAAAUUUCAUAAGUUUAACAACAAUGUUUUCAUCAUUCACACAAUCCAAUCAAAUUUCCUAGGUUUACCAACAUUUUCAUCAUGCACACAAUUCAAUUAAAUUUCAAGGGUUUAACAACAACAUUUUCAUCAUUCCCACUAUUCAAUCAAAUUUCAUGGGUUUAACAUCAUCAUUUUCAUCAUUCCCACAAUUCAAUAAAAUUUCAUGGGUUUAACAUCAUCAUUUUUAUCAUUCUCACAAUUCAAUCAAAUUUCAUGGGUUUAACAUCAACAUUUUCAUCAUUCCUACCAUUCAAUCGAAUUUCAUGGGUUUAGCAUCAACAUUUUCA